UCUUGGAAGAAAAGAAAAGCCUCACUGGCUGAGCCUUCCUGAUUAGGAGCAGCUGGUUGGGUUUGGAGUGGUGGCUUUUUCCCCUCUCCCUGUGAAGUUUUUGUGCUGCAGCACUGUGAUAAAGGAGCUCACAUCAGGCUGGUGCUUGCUACCAGCUCAGGUGGGAAGGGAAGCAGGGAAUGUUUUGUGCUUCUCUGCUGAAGAGGGUCCACGUGGAGCAGCAUCCAGAUCCGGACUGACAGAGAUUAAGGCACAGAGGAAAAAGCUGAAACAAGCAUCCUUCAGCUGUUCCUGUGGAGAGCAAGGCAAGCACUGCUCUUCAGGAAGGGAGGAAAGCUGCACAGGAGGAUUUGUCCCCAUGUUCAGCUUGGUGGUUCCACAGAAUUGGGAAAUGUUGCAUAAACAGAGCCCUGCUCCUUCAGCUGUGCAUUGCAACUGCAAACAACCUGGUCCAGCAGCACUGGGACUUGGUGAAGUCACAAGCAUCUAAAAAAUAAUAUUAAAAGCUUGUCCCAGAAAUGCUCCCUGCCUUAGGUGGCUGAGAGCUGCCUCCCUGUCCUGUUCUUGCCCUUUUUACCUCGGUGGGAAUCUCGUGCUCUCAGCAGUGUCUGGAGCGAUUCACCUGGCUCCUGUUUGCUCCCAAGGAUGUGGGAGAUUUGCAGAACCAGGGCAAGUCCUGAGGUCAGACCUGGCUUUACCCUUCAUUUUCUAGCAGCUGCUUCGUUGUUUUCUUGAGGUUGCUGCUACCCCUUUAAAAACAAGCAUCCCAGGAAUUUUCUUUUGAAACAGGCUUCCCCUCUCCAAAUCCAAUUAUACUCUUUCAGCUGGGUCAUUUUCAGCCCCUGCCGCCUUUUUGGUUCUUUGGGUUUUUUACUGAAUUUAU